GCCUCUAUAGCUUAGUGGUAGAGCGUCGCACUUGUAAUGCGAAGGUCGCCGGUUCAAUUCCGGUUGGAGGCACUA
rnacentral:tRNA from 1 species